CUUUGUUGCCUCUCGUGCCAGCGAAAAGAAGGAGAAGAAGAUAAAGGUGGUGCAGGGCACUGACGUGGAUGACGGCGGUGGCAACAGAGUUGGCAGAUUGGGGAUGCAUUUUUUCCCUCAUAACAGCGACUAGACGGUGUUGGGAGUGGCGGCAUUGCAUGAUUUUUGCCGCUUGGGGAUCGUUGAAUGCUUGAGGUGGCUGCCAGAAGCAUCGCAGUAGUUUGGACUCUUAAAUUGUGGUACACCGGACACGUCCAGUAGACCUUGAGCAACAAGACGUGUAGCUCGAGGUGUUUUGGAGCGUUUUGUGGACGUGCGACAG